rnacentral:rRNA from 1 species
CGAACCUACCCAUCAGAGGGGGAUAACACUUGGAAACAGGUGCUAAUACCGCAUAACAGUUUAUGCCGCAUGGCAUAAGAGUGAAAGGCGCUUUCGGGUGUCGCUGAUGGAUGGACCCGCGGUGCAUUAGCUAGUUGGUGAGGUAACGGCUCACCAAGGCCACGAUGCAUAGCCGACCUGAGAGGGUGAUCGGCCACACUGGGACUGAGACACGGCCCAG